AUUGAACGCUGGCGGCAUGCCUUACACAUGCAAGUCGAACGGCAGCACGGGAGCUUGCUCCUGGUGGCGAGUGGCGAACGGGUGAGUAAUACAUCGGAACGUACCCUGAAGUGGGGGAUAACGUAGCGAAAGUUACGCUAAUACCGCAUAUUCUGUGAGCAGGAAAGAGGGGGAUCGCAAGACCUCUUGCUUUAGGAGCGGCUGAUGUCGGAUUAGCUAGUUGGUGAGGUAAAGGCUCACCAAGGCGACGAUCCGUAGCGGGUCUGAGAGGAUGAUCCGCCACACUGGGACUGAGACACGGCCCAGACUCCUACGGGAGGCAGCAGUGGGGAAUUUUGGACAAUGGGCGCAAGCCUGAUCCAGCCAUGCCGCGUGAGUGAAGAAGGCCU
rnacentral:rRNA from 1 species